AUACUUACCUGGCAGGGGAGAGACCAUGAUCGCAAAGGUGGUUUUCCCAGGGUAAGGCUUAUCCAUUGCACUUCGGAUGUGCUGACCCCUGUGAUUUCCCCCAAAUCACGAGUUUUGUAGUAAUAGGGGACUGGGUUCGCACUUUCCCCUG
ensembl:snRNA U1 U1 spliceosomal RNA